rnacentral:miRNA from 1 species
UGAGGCAGGAGAAUUGCUUGAACCCAGGAGGUGGAGGCUGCAGUGAGCUGAGAUUGUGCCACUGUACUCCAGCCUGGGCAACAUAGCGAGACUC